rnacentral:rRNA from 1 species
AUUGAACGCUGGCGGCAGGCCUAACACAUGCAAGUCGAGCGGAGCGGCGGACGGGGGAGUAAUGCCUAGGAAUCUGCCUGGUAGUGGGGGAUAACGUCAGGAAACGGGCGCUAAUACCGCAUACUAUCAGAUGAGCCUAGGUCGGAUUAGCUAGUUGGUGGGGUAAAGGCCGACCAAGGCGACGAUCCGUAACUGGUCUGAGAGGAUGAUCAGUCACACUGAAACUGAGAGACGGGCAAGACUACUACGGGAGGCAGCAGUAGGGAAUAUUGGGCAAUGGGGGAAAGCCUGAUCCAGCCAUGCAGCGUGUGUGAAGAAGGUAUUCGAAUUGUAAAACACUGUAGGUAGGGAGGCGUUACCAACAGAAUAGGCACCGGCGGACUUCGUGACAACAGCCGCGGUAAUUC